rnacentral:lncRNA from 1 species
GUCGCCGCGCCUGGGCCCGGGGACGCCACAGAAAGGGAGUGGUGGUGCGGCCUUCUCUGUGGGAGCAAGGACCGCACCUGCCGAGGGAGGACUGGAGCUGGGCGCUGAGGUACCAAGGAGUCCUGGGACCUUCGAGGGGUGGCGUGAUGAAAGCAGAAGCGCGUUGGGGCUGUGGCCUCUCGUCUGCAGGGACUGCCGUGGGAUCCGGCGGCCAUGACAUGAGAAGAUACCCUGGAAGCUUCAGCAGCCCACUCUGGCCCGGCGGCCACCGUAUGCGGGCGGCUCCCACCCUCUUCUCCGUCCUCUGAACUUGUAGCUACACAGCAGCGUCUCCCCAGCGUCUCCCAAGCGUCUCCGCUCCCAAGUCUUACGGCUCAAGUUCGGCACAAGCAGACCUGCUGAACCUGCCUCAGCCUUGCCCAGCUGCUGAACAGCUCCCAGGAGUCGAGACUGUGGGUCCCUCCCAGCAGCUGGUGGAGAACAGCUCAGCCCAGACUCAGCCGUUUUCAAACAGAUUCCCAUUUUCAGACCAGGACAGUAAGGCCACAGGAGGCCCACCUUGGUUUUCAGAAAGGUUGCUCAUCAACUAUGCUGUUGCUUUCUCUUACAACUUGGGAUUCUAUCAGUUUCCAAACUGUG